UGAAUAGCUAAAGCGCCAGAACCCUUCCCGGAGUGCGGGAACGAAUAAGGCCCGGGGAAAGCGGGCGUGCCAUGGCCUGCCUGCCUGCAUGGCACGGGCCUUUAAGGGUUGACGAGGAGGGGGUUAAUCGAGUUUUUCGGCGGGUGCCCCCCGGUCCGGCCGGACCGUUAGCGGCAUUACAAAACCACCGGGCAACCGGUGGGACAAAAGUGCCAGCGGCCUGAA
rnacentral:ncRNA from 2 species